rnacentral:rRNA from 1 species
UACGGAGGGGGCUAGCGGUGUUCGGAUUUACUGGGCGCAAAGCGCGCGUAGGCUGCUUGGAAAGUUGGGAGUGAAAGCCCGGGGCUCAACCCCGGAACUGCUCUCAAAACUUCCAAGCUAGAGAUCUGGAGAGGAGGGUGGAAUUCCAAGUGUAGAGGUGAAAUUCGUAGAUAGUUGGAAGAACACCAGUGGCGAAGGCGACUCUCUGGCCAGAUACUGACGCUGAGGUGCUAAAGCCUGGCGACCAAACAGG